AUUGAACGCUGGCGGCAUGCCUUACACAUGCAAGUCGAACGGUAACGGGCCUUCGGGUGCCGACGAGUGGCGAACGGGUGAGUAAUGUAUCGGAACGUACCUUUCAGUGGGGGAUAACGUAGCGAAAGUUACGCUAAUACCGCAUAUUCUGUGAGCAGGAAAGCAGGGGAUCGCAAGACCUUGCGCUGAUUGAGCGGCCGAUAUCAGAUUAGCUAGUUGGUGAGGUAAAGGCUCACCAAAGGCGACGAUCUGUAGCGGGUCUGAGAGGAUGAUCCGCCACACUGGAACUGAGACACGGUCCAGACUCCUACGGGAGGCAGCAGUGGGGAAUUUUGGACAAUGGGGGCAACCCUGAUCCAGCCAUGCCGCGUGAGUGAUGAAGGCCUUAGGGUUGUAAAGCUCUUUCAGCUGGGAAGAUAAUGACGGUACCAGCAGAAGAAGCCCCGGCUAACUCCGUG
rnacentral:rRNA from 1 species